UGAAGUCAAAUUUGUAUGGAGUUGGAACGUUUGCCUAUAUUUGCCGCUAGGAGCACUGUUCCAGCUGCAAACAUAUUUCAGGUA
rnacentral:pre_miRNA from 1 species